GAUGAACGCUGGCGGCGUGCCUAAUACAUGCAAGUCGAGCGAAUGGAUUAAGAGCUUGCUCUUAUGAAGUUAGCGGCGGACGGGUGAGUAACACGUGGGUAACCUGCCCAUAAGACUGGGAUAACUCCGGGAAACCGGGGCUAAUACCGGAUAAUAUUUUGAACUGCAUGGUUCAAAAUUGAAAGGCGGCUUCGGCUGUCACUUAUGGAUGGACCCGCGUCGCAUUAGCUAGUUGGUGAGGUAACGGCUCACCAAGGCAACGAUGCGUAGCCGACCUGAGAGGGUGAUCGGCCACACUGAGACUGAGACACGGCCCAGACUCCUACGGGAGGCAGCAGUAGGGAAUCUUCCGCAAUGGACGAAAGUCUGACGGAGCAACGCCGCGUGAGUGAGGAAGGCUUUCGGGUCGUAAAACUCUGUUGUUAGGGAAGAACAAGUGCUAGUUGAAUAAGCUGGCACCUUGACGGUACCUAACCAGAAAGCCACGGCUAACUACGUGCCAGCAGCCGCGGUAA
rnacentral:rRNA from 1 species